UUUAUCCAGAACGGCAGAGGGCACGGCCCGAUGAAGCCUAGCAACCGGUCCUAGCAAUCAAGGGAAGCGGGAUACGGUGCUAAUUCCGGCGUCCGUAGCGGUCGAUUCCGCCAACGACGAAAGAUGAG
rnacentral:ncRNA from 1 species